UCGCGCCGCUCGCCAUAUUAAGUUAACAACCUUCCCUGGUAAUUCCAUUCUCCAAAUCCUUCUCCAGAAAGCUUUCUCAGUACAUUCAGCUUCUCCCUGAAUACAUCGAUAAGAGCAUCUCCAAGGGUGUUAUGUAUAUUUGUUAGCUAUAAUAUGAUAUAUAGAUAAUCAUCUAAAAUUAUAGCUAAGAGGUUCUAAGUUCACUCCAAUGGUGUUAUGUAUAAUUAUAUUAUCUAAAAUUAUACAUAAUACCUUUAGAGGUUUUACAAAUGUAGCUACCCCAAUUUUUUUUUUUUUUUUGACUAAUAUGGCUUAUAAGCCUUACAAUUGAGUAUCUGUUCUUAGACAAUNUGACUAAUAUGGCUUAUAAGCCUUACAAUUGAGUAUCUGUUCUUAGACAAUCUCGAAGUGAGCCAGAGUCGAACCCAGAACCUGGGCCAACAGAGGAUAAGCCCUUAACCACCGGGCUAUCCAAUCGUGCUCUAGCUACCCCAAUUUUAGUUAUCUAUAUUUUUUUGCUAAGGGGUAAUGGUUGGAGACUAGAAUUUUUACCUAUUAUCUAAAAUGUGCGACAUAGAUGCCACAUAAACACUUUUACCUAAGAGGUCUAAUGCCUUGGAGUUGCUCUAACAACUUUUAACCGAAAAUUCACCCUUAUCAUCUAGUAUCCAAUACCAGGAAUCACUUCUGCUGCGUAUAGGAAUAGGAAUCUGCUUUAUUAGCCUCUUGUCACGAUCAUUACACAAAUCAUUCAACACAUCUUCGUCCCAUUUACUCCCAUG
rnacentral:lncRNA from 1 species